rnacentral:snRNA from 1 species
AAUUUAAUCUGGUUUGUGUCCUA